rnacentral:tRNA from 1 species
GGUGGCUUAGUGGUAGAGUGCUUGCCUCGCAUGCACGAGGCCCUGGGUUCGAUUCCUCAGCACCA